GCGGUGGCUCACGCCUGUAAUCCCAGCACUUUGGGAGGCCAAGGUGGGUGGAUCACCUGAGGUCAGGAGUUCGAGACCAGCGUGGCCAACAUGGUGAAAC